AGGCGAUCCUCCCAACUUGGCCUCCAAAAGUUUACAGGCUUGAGCCACCGUGCCCAGCCUCCUGUGCCUUUUAAUUCACUGAUGCACUUGUUGAUCCGGCCCUGUCAGCUCUGAGGGUCUGAGGUUGCUGCUGUAUCCCUGGCACUCAGUGGAGGCUUGGCCCAAAGAAAGAGUUUUUUUUUUUUUUUUUCCUCCCCGAGACGGGAGUCUCACUCUGUCGCCCAGGCUGGAGUGCAGUGGCAUGAUCUCAGCUCACUGCAACCUCCGCCUCCUGGGUUCAAGCGAUUCUCCUGCCUCAGCCUCCCGAGUAGCUGGGACUACAGGUGCGUGUCAACAUGCCCCGCUAAUUUUUGUAUUUUUAGUAGAGAUGAGUUUUCACCAUGUUGGCUAGGUUGGUCUAACUCCUGACCUCAGGUGAUCCGCCCACCUCAGCCUCCGAAAGUGCUUGGAUUACAGGCCUGAGCCACCGCGCUCGGCCCAAAUUUUCUCCCCAGGAAUCUGGAACGAUGAAGGUGGUGAUGAUUGUGCCUGUAGCCAAGACCGGGAGAACCCUGGACCCCUACAUCUUCCCCACCCCUGGAAUGUCACUAUACAUAUCUGACUUCCUUCUGAUGUUGCCUUUGACCCUAAAGUCAAUAUGAUAAAGUAACAAGAAGCUGGGACAGAGGAACAAACACAGCCCACUCACGUAGUGGUGGCAACAUUCUGUUAGAAAGGAGGGGAGUCAAAUAAAAAAACACCCCUCCCCCAAUUUCCUUGAUCACCUCCCUAAA
rnacentral:antisense_RNA from 1 species